rnacentral:rRNA from 1 species
CUCAGAUUGAACGCUGGCGGCAGGCCUAACACAUGCAAGUCGAGCGGUAACAUUUCUAGCUUGCUAGAAGAUGACGAGCGGCGGACGGGUGAGUAAUGCUUGGGAACAUGCCUUGAGGUGGGGGACAACAGUUGGAAACGACUGCUAAUACCGCAUAAUGUCUACGGACCAAAGGGGGCUUCGGCUCUCGCCUUUAGAUUGGCCCAAGUGGGAUUAGCUAGUUGGUGAGGUAAUGGCUCACCAAGGCGACGAUCCCUAGCUGGUUUGAGAGGAUGAUCAGCCACACUGGGACUGAGACACGGCCCAGACUCCUACGGGAGGCAGCAGUGGGGAAUAUUGCACAAUGGGCGCAAGCCUGAUGCAGCCAUGCCGCGUGUGUGAAGAAGGCCUUCGGGUUGUAAAGUACUUUCAGUUGUGAGGAAGGGGUAACGUUAAUAGCGUUAUCUCUUGACGUUAGCAACAGAAGAAGCACCGGCUAAGGU